rnacentral:rRNA from 1 species
GACGAACGCUGGCGGCGUGCUUAACACAUGCAAGUCGAACGGAAAGGCCCUGCUUUUGUGGCGUGCUCGAGUGGCGAACGGGUGAGUAACACGUGAGUAACCUGCCCUUGACUUUGGGAUAACUUCAGGAAACUGGGGCUAAUACCGGAUAGGAGCUCCUGCUGCAUGGGGGGGGUUGGAAAGUUUCGGCGGUUCGGGAUGGACUCGCGGCUUAUCCGCUUGUUGGUGGGGUAGUGGCUUACGAAGGCUUUGACGGGUAGCCGGCCUGGGAGGGUGAACGGCCACAUUGGGACUGAGAUAGGGACCAGACGGCUACGGGAGGCAGCAGGGGGGAAUAUGGCACAGUGGGGGGAAGCCUGAUGCAGCAACGCCGCGUGCGGGAUGACGGCCUUCGGGUUGUAAACCGCUUUCGCCUGUGACGAAGCGUGAGUGACGGUAAUGGGUAAAGAAGCACCGGCUAACUACGUG